GUGGGGAAUCUUAGACAAUGGGCGCAAGCCUGAUCUAGCCAUGCCGCGUGAGCGAUGAAGGCCUUAGGGUUGUAAAGCUCUUUCGCUGGGGAAGAUAAUGACUGUACCCAGUAAAGAAGCCCCGGCUAACUCCGUGCCAGCAGCCGCGGUAAUACGGAGGGGGCUAGCGUUGUUCGGAAUUACUGGGCGUAAAGCGCGCGUAGGCGGAUUGGAAAGUUGGGGGUGAAAUCCCGGGGCUCAACCUCGGAACUGCCUUCAAAACUCCCAGUCUUGAGUUCGAGAGAGGUGAGUGGAAUUCCGAGUGUAGAGGUGAAAUUCGUAGAUAUUCGGAGGAACACCAGUGGCGAAGGCGGCUCACUGGCUCGAUACUGACGCUGAGGUGCGAAAGCGUGGGGAGCAAACAGGAUUAGAAACCCCUGUAAUCC
rnacentral:rRNA from 1 species